GUGCUAAGGAGGUGGUUUCGGCUGCUUAAGCUCGCCCCCGAAGGUUUGGACUUUCGGCUCUGGAGCGGGGUUUCGGCCGCCGAAGGUGCCGCCGAAGGUUAGAGACUUUCGUCUCUGGAGUGCCUUUCAGCCCCCGAACCUUGCCCCCGAAAGGGUUCGGCUGCCGAAAGUAAAGUUCGGCCGCCGAAGGUGCUUGAGUUUCGUCUCUGGAAGGGACUUUCGGCCGCCGAACCUGCCGCCGAAAGUGCCCUGUCCAGCCUUCUUUUGCAUGCUUUAUGUGAUUGUUUUAGGACCUUUUAAGGGGGUUUUGGGAAGUUUUAUAGAGUUGUUCUUGAGCUCGUUUGGUCCCUCAUUUGAGUCCACCUGUGUAGGAACGGACCAAAGGAACCGCAAAGAGCAGCAGUGAGCACUGCUUCAGAGUCAGAGUCAGUUCAGAGUCAACCAGAGGUGAGUAGAACUAGACUGAAUCUUUUAUUUUUAAAGAAAUCGAAUGCCUAAAGCGUGUUCAUGCAUCAUGAUGAUUAUAGUAGGUUGAUUGCACUAGUUUUCACGAAUAUGGUGCAUUUCAUAAUAUGAUGAAUAUGAUGAUGUGGAUGGACCAAGGCGACCCCAAUAGCCCUAGAGCUGUUGUAAGACCUGGCCGAGCCAGGCAUACAGAUGUUGUAAGACCUGGCCGGGCCAGGCAUACGGACGUUGUAAGACCUGGCUGGGCCAGGCAUACAAGGGUUAUAAGACCUGGCCGGGCCAGGCAUAUCGAUACUGGAGGGAGUUUUGGUGGUCAUGUCUAUCCGUGAUAUGAAAUGUUUGUGCUGUGACGCAUUCAUAAGAGCAUGUCAUUAAUGAACUAUUUUUCUUGUUUCUACUCAUUGGGCUUUAUAGCUCACCCCUUCCCCAUAACCCAAGUUUUACAGGCUCAGAGGUCAGGGGAGGAUCAGCAGAGGUCAGAAAGAAUAAAGAGACGUGUAAUAGAUUAGUGUGGACAUGUAAAAUUGUAAAGAGAUGUAAAUAUUAUAACGAGCUAUGUAUAGUUCUGUGCUUGACCCAGAUGUGAUGUAAAUCCCUCUUAUGUAUACAUGGUCUGUUUUAUGGAUAUGUCUAGUUGAUGUGUGGUUUUAAUAUAUACUGUGUGGACUCAGCUAGGGCUUUAAUGAGUGCUCUGGCAAGGGGGUCUGUGUACAGAGUUAGUGCAUGCACAGGUUGAACCAUGGGACAAGGUUGAGUUUUUAUGUUUACAGGUUAUGUUUGAUCAUGUAUGGGAUUUUACAGAUACCCAGAGAGUAUAGCAGGCUUGCUACGGGUCUCGGCGGCCUUAAGCCGAUCUGAAUCCUAGCGCCGGUAGUGGUCCGAAUUUCCGGGUCAUUACAGAUUGGUAUCAGAGCCCUAGGUUCAUAUGGUCGGACCUAGAUAGAGAGUGUCGGGCUCAUAGAGGUUAGAGUAGGUCAAGCACAAUAGGAAGCAUGUCCACUAGGAUAGGAUGUUGAGUCCUGUCUAAUUGUUGAAGUGUAAUGCCAUGAGUGAUGCAUGUGCCUUGUUGUUAUAUGAUGUUUCUAUGCUGAUGUGUGUUGUUAUGUUGCUUUUCAAAACGUUAAGAUGAGAGGAACUCGUCGAUCUGCACGAUUGACUGGAGUCCCACCAGUGAAUGAGGGCUCAGAUGCUCGUCCUCCUGCGUUGCCAAGGGCAAGGUCUCAGAGAUCAAGCAGGGAGGGUAUGUCAAGGGACUCUAGAAGGUCUUUUAACGAGAGCAGAAGAGGAGCAGAUAGAGGAGGGAGCUCAGAGGAAGUGAGGGAGGCUAUGGAUGAGGAUCAGUCAAGAGAGGAAAGCAUGGGUAUGGGCAGGUCUGAAGAGGGUAUGGGAGAGUCUCAGGGAGGCGCUCAGGCCUCGGGGUUUGGUUAUCCACCCUUUCCACAGGGCCCAGGGUAUUCGAUGGGGGUACGUCGGAUUACUCUAGUUUUCCCCCAUAUCCUACCUACAUGCCUUAUAUGCCUUAUCCUCCUUUUUACCCACCAUAUCCCAUGUAUCCACCCACACCUUUCCAUCCCAGUACAGCAUACCUAGAGCCAAGUUCAGCACCUUCUGCUCCACCACCAGAACCAGAACCAGUAGUCCCAGUUGUCCAAGCACCUCAACCUAGCUCAGCUGAGACAAACUGAAGAAAUGAGUGUAGAAGAAUACACAGAUAAGUUCCUGGAUCUGUUGCAGUAUGUGGGUCAGGCUUAUGACACUAACCAGAAGAAGGCAAGGAGAUAUACCAUGCGACUUCAUCCCAAGUAUUCCUCCUUGAUUCUUCCAGCAGAGAAAGAGAGUUUUCACUCUAUAGUGGAUGCCGCCAGGAAGAUGGAGGCGAAUGCCAUUAUUCAGGGCACAGUUAAACAGCAAGCGGCACAGUCGUCGAGUUCUAAGACCCCCAGUGCAGCAGCUUCUGGCAGCAAAAAGGGAGAAAAAUUUAAAGGUAGGAAGGGCAAGUUCUGGAAUAAGAUCAAGUCUAGUCUGGGAAUGGGUAGUGGCUCAAGCUCUGGCACAGGCAGUACAGUGUGCAUGAGAUGUGGAAGGCCACACAAAGGAGUUUGUCGUAUGGGAUCUACAACUUGCUUUAAGUGUGGACAGGAAGGACAUUUUGCUCGGGAAUGUCCUCAGUUGACCUUUAUGGCACCAUCCUAGCAGAUGAGCUCAGGCAGUGUGGCAUAGCCAGCAGCGCCAGCCAUGCCUCAGAGUAGUGGCAGAGGGAGAGAAAGAGGGUCAGCCUCUUCUUCGACAACAGGUUCCUAAGGUGAAGGUCCGGUAGCCCCAGCACGGAUCUUCACUGUGACACAAGAGGAGGCAAACACGUCGAACACUGUGGUGUCAGGUAAUCUCAUAAUUGGGUAUUCUGAUGUGUAUGCUUUGAUGGACCCCGGUGCUUCUCAUUCCUUUAUUGCUUCUGGAGCCGUAGAGAGGUUGGGUUUGAUCAUUUCUGAGUUGGAGUGUCCUCUCUGGGUCAGUGGACCCAAAUGUGACCCAUCAGUGGCAGUGUCAGUCUGUCGCUUCAGUCCAGUGUUCAUAGAGGGUAUAUGCCUUCCAGCUGACCUAGUGGUUCUAGAUUUGACGGAUUUUGAUGUCAUUCUAGGGAUGGAUUGGCUAUCUACAUAUGGAGCUACCUUGGACUACAGAGAUAAAGUAGUUAGUCUCAGAGACCAGGAUGGGUCAGAGUGUAUCUUCAGAGGGGAUAGGAGGGGUACUCCUAGAGGUUUGAUCUCAGCCCUUCAGGCUCGUCGUUUGCUUAGGAGGGGUUGUCAGGGGUUUCUAGCUCAUGUGAGAGAGCUAGAUAGACAGGUUAGGGAACCAGCCUCAGUUCCUGUAGUCCGAGAGUUUCCAGAUGUCUUCCCAGAUAAGCUUCCAAGACUACCACCUGAUAGGGAGAUAGAGUUUGCAAUAGAAUUACUGCCUGGUACCAGACCUAUCUCUAUUCCUUCCUACAGGAUGGCGCCAGCAGAGUUAAAAGAGUUGAAAGAGCAGUUGCAGGACUUGGUAGAUAAGGGUUUCAUUCGCCCUAGUACCUCACCUUGGGGUGCUCCAGUGCUUUUUGUCAGAAAGAAGGAUGGAUCCCUUAGACUUUGUAUCGACUAUAGACAGUUGAACAAGGUCACUACCAAGAAUAAGUAUCCCCUGCCUAGGAUCGAUGAUCUAUUCGACCAGCUAGCUGGAGCAGGUUGUUUCUCUAAAAUAGCUCUGAGGUCCGGGUAUCAUCAGUUGAGAGUCAGAGAAGCAGAUGUGCCAAAGACAGCUUUCAGGACCAGGUAUGGGCAUUAUGAGUUCUUAGUAAUGCCGUUCGGGUUAACUAACGCCCCUGCCGCAUUCAUGGAUCUCAUGAACAGAGUUUUCAGCGAGUAUCUGGAUCACUUUGUGAUUGUCUUCAUCAAUGACAUCUUAGUGUAUUCCAGAGAUGCAGAGGAGCACGCCCAGCAUCUGAGGACAGUUCUGCAGACUCUGAGAGAGCAUGGUUUAUAUGCCAAGUUCUCGAAGAGUGAGUUUUGGUUAAGGAGCAUUACCUUCUUAGGGCAUGUUGUAUCAGCCGAAGGUAUUGAGGUAGACCCCAAGAAGAUAGAAGCUGUAGCUAACUGGCCUAGACCCACCUCAGUGACAGAGAUUAAAAGCUUUCUGGGUUUAGCAGGUUACUACAGGAGGUUCGUUCAUAACUUCUCAAGGACAGCUGCUCCUAUGACCAAACUGACCCAGAAGAACCAGAAGUUUGUAUGGUCAGACCAGUGUGAAGAGAGCUUUGAAGAGUUAAAGAGAAGAUUAACAUCAGCACCGGUGUUAGCUCUGCCUGUUAGUAAUGAAGACUUCACAGUGUUCUGUGAUGCGUCCAGAGUGGGCUUGGGUUGUGUUCUGAUGCAGAAUGACAGGGUGAUUGCUUAUACUUCUAGACAGCUGAAGAAGCACGAGUUGAAUUACCCCACCCAUGACCUCGAAAUGGCAGCAGUUAUCUUUGCACUCAAGAUGUGGAGGCAUUACCUUUAUGGGGUGAAAUGCGAGAUCUUCAUAGAUCACAAGAGUUUACAGUACAUCUUGAGUCAGAAAGAGCUGAAUUUGAGGCAGAGAAGGUGGGUAGAACUGCUCAGUGAUUAUGAUUGCACGAUUCAGUAUCAUCCGGGUAAGGUGAAUAUUGUGGCAGACGCCCUAAGUCGGAAAUCACUUGGCAGCUUGUCCCACAUAGCAGCAGAGAGAAGACCAGUGGUGAUGGACUUUUAUAAGCUCAUCGACGAAGGGCUACAGCUAGAGUUGUCUGGUACAGGUGCAUUGAUAGCACAAAUGAGAGUGACCCUAGUGUUUCUGGAGCAGGUGGCUCAGAACCAGCAUGAGAACCCGGAGUUAGUGAACAUUGCCAGGACUGUUCAGUCAGGCAACAGUGCAGAGUUCAGAUUUGACAGCAAAGGAAUCCUCCGAUAUGGGAAUCGACUAUGUGUACCAGAUGACAGUAAUCUGAAAGGAGACAUUAUGAGGGAGGCUCAUAAUGCAAGGUACAGUGUUCACCCUGGAGCCACCAAGAUGUAUCAGGAUUUGAAAAGAGUGUAUUGGUGGCCAGCUAUGAAGAAAGAAGUGGCACAGUUUGUGUCCGCCUGUGAAAUUUGCCAGAGGGUGAAACUGGAACAUCAGAAGCCGGCUGGAAUGCUUAACCCACUGCCGAUUCCAUAAUGGAAAUGGGAGAACAUAGCUAUAGAUUUUGUAGUGGGCUUAUCGGCAGCGUCCAACAGGGUAGACUCCAUAUGGGUGAUUGUGGAUAGAUUGACGAAAUCUGCUCAUUUCAUCCCUGUUAGGAGUAACUCCUCGGUGGAUAAGUUAGCACAGGUUUAUUUGGAGGAGAUCGUAAAGUUGCAUGGAGUCCCCGUGUCUAUAGUGUCAGACAGAGGACCUCAGUUCACCUCCAGAUUUUGGCGGAGUCUGCAGAGUGCGAUGGGCACAAGGUUGGAUUUUAGCACUGCUUUCCAUCCACAGACUGACGGACAGUCAGAGAGGACCAUCCAGACCAUAGAGGAUAUGCUCAGAAUGUGUGUGUUAGACUUUGGCGGUUCUUGGAGGCAGCAUCUACCUUUGGUGGAGUUUGCUUACAAUAACAGUCAUCAUGCUAGCAUAGGGAUGGCCCCUUAUGAAGCUUUGUAUGGGCGGAAGUGCAGAUCACCUAUUUGCUGGGAGGAAGUAGGAGAGGCGGCUCUUGCAGGGCCGGAGUUAGUUGAGAUCACCAGCAGAGUGGUGCCCAUGAUCAGAGAGAGGAUCAAGACUACUCAGAGCAGACAGAAAAGCUAUGCAGAUAUCCGCAGAAAGCAGAUAGAGUUUCAGGAAGGUGAUAUGGUAUUGCUGAAGGUGUCUCCAAUGAAAGGAGUGGUUCGGUUUGGGAAGAAAGGUAAGCUAGCCCCACGGUACAUUGGACCUUUUGAGAUCUUGCAGAAGAUCGGGAAUGUGUCGUACAAGCUGGAUUUACCUGCUUCUAUGGAGAGAAUUCACCCGGUUUUUCAUGUUUCUAUGCUCCAGAAGUUUGUGUCAAAUUCGAGUAAGCUUCUUAGUGAGCCUGAGGUGGAGGUCCUUGGCGAUCUCACCUAUAUAGAGCAGCCAGUGCGGAUCCUUGACACACAGAUCAGACAGCUAAGGAACAAAGAAAUUCCAAUGGUGAAAGUUCUAUGGAACCACCACAAUCUAGAAGAGUGCACCUGGGAGACACGGGAGUCUAUGCUCUAGCAAUAUCCAUAUCUGUUUUAAGGUUAGUUUUCCUCUCUUUUUAUGUGUUUAGUGUUUGAGGAACAUUCGGGGAUGAAUGUUCUUAAGGGGGGAGAAUGUAAUACCCGGCUAGAGUCCGACAUCGGAAUUUCUGUAGUCCGGUGGAAUCUCGGGUGUCGGAACCCUCUAGAAGGGUAGUACAUAUGUUUUUCUAAAGUGUUUUAACUUGUUUUAAUGUUUUAAGUAUAAAGGAAAUGAGUUUUGAAGGGAAAAGAGCCAAGGGAGAAAAUGGCAAGUUCGGGCGCCGAAAGUGAGUUUCGCCCGCCUAACCUUGCAUGGUUUCGGAUUCACGUUUGGCUGCCGAAGGUGGUCUGGCCAGCCACCUAUAAAAGGCCCCAAGUCGGUGGAAGGAUGAUAUUUUGCUUCCACCUUCAGUCAGAGGUGAGCCCAAACCCUUCCCAAGUUGACUUUCAUGAUCUUCUUCAAAUCUUUCAAGGAUUUAACAAGAUUUUGUUAUUUUUUGAAGUUUUUGAGCAUAAAACCCAAGACUUGAAGUUUGGAGACUUGAGGAGUGUUUUCUCCAUAUCUCUACGUUAGGACCCUUCAUCCUCUCGUUUACCAGAGGUAAGUGAAGUUUCCUGACAUCUUUUAAUGUUUUAAGCAAAUUUUAUGCAAGUUGGUUGGGUGGAUAUGCAUGUUUCGGUUAAGUAGGUUUUAUGUGAGUUUUGUGUACAAGCAUGCUUAUGUGAUAUUUUGAUGUUGUUGUUUGGGGUUUUAAGGUAGUUUUAGACCCCUUUGUGCAUGAAAUUGAGUAUAUGCAGGUUGUGGUUUUGUUGGUUGCAUGUGAGAGAAGUUUGGGCACGUUUGCAUGAAGCAGAACAAGUUUCUGCCUAACUGGGAAAUCCAGUUUUGGCCGCCGAAGGAAGGUUCAGCCGCCGAACGUGCUAAGGAGGUGGUUUCGGCUGCCUAAGCUCGCCCCCGAAGGUUUGGACUUUCGGCUCUGGAGCGGGGUUUCGGCCGCCGAAGGUGCCACCGAAGGUUAGAGACUUUCGUCUCUGGAGUGCCUUUCAGCCCCCGAACCUUGCCCCCGAAAGGGUUCGGCUGCCGAAAGUAAAGUUCGGCCGCCGAAGGUGCUUGAGUUUCGUCUCUGGAAGGGACUUU
rnacentral:lncRNA from 1 species